UUUCUCAGAGCCGAUUUCACCAGCGUAAUAUAAGUCUUAUCCGAGAGUAAAGAUAUUUUGGCAGGUUUUCAGUCCAAAAACUGUUAUUACCCCAAUUUAUUCCUUGAUUAAACGUCACUUGAUGUUGGUGAAAUCGGCACUUAGUAACUGGUAGAUUUUACGAAC